UCCGUGUUAACCACGGCAGUCUCUUUAGAGAGCCCAACUUAAUGCUGGCAACUAAAGACAAGGGUUGCGCUCGUUGCGGGACUUAACCCAACAUGUCACCACACGAGCUGACGACAGCCAUGCAGCACCUGUCACUCAGCGGUAUUGCUACCGAAGCACUAUCUCUAGUGCGGUCCGAGGAUGUCAAACCCAGGUAAGGUUCUUCGCGUUGCUUCGAAUUAAACCACAUGAUCCACCGCUUGUGCGGGCCCCCGUCAAUUCCUUUGAGUUUUAGUCUUGCGACCGUACUUCCCAGGCGGGAUACUUAUUGCGUUAGCUCCGGCUCGGCAGGGGUCAAGACCCACCAAGCCUAGUAUCCAUCGUUUACAGCGUGGACUAC
rnacentral:misc_RNA from 1 species